GGGUUCGUGGCGAAAUUGGUAGACGCACCAGACUUAGGAUCUGACGCAGCGAUGCAUGAGAGUUCGAGUCUCUCCGAGCCCA
rnacentral:tRNA from 1 species